UUUCCCAAAUUGAGAAACCCUAACCCUAAUGUUUCUCUUUCCUCAGCCACUGAACGCAGCCUCUACCCCCUUUUCUUCCUAAACACCACACACACACAAAAGAAGAAAGAAACGCAGAGAGAGAGAAGAGAGAGGGAAGAGCUCUUGCCCCGCCGCCGCCGUGACCGUCGCACUGCCACCGUUCAACUCCGCUCGCGCUGCCGCGCGUUCUGUCAUCAUCAGAGUCAUCGUCGUCGUUUGUGGAGCCGCGAGGAGCUCGCCGUCGAGCUGCUUUGCAGCGCCGUCCCGUCCAUAGAGCCGAGCCCGAGCCUGCUUCGUCACUGCCGUCGGGGUCUUCAUCGUCGCUGGUGCGGUCGGAGCCGCCGUCGUUGGAGAGAGAGCAAGCGCGAAUCUGAGAAAGGGAGAGAGAGAGAGAGAUACGACGCAACAGAGGAGGAAAGGAGAAGUCUUCUGUCAUCAACGCCACGCCUCUUCACCACUGCCGCCGCCGGAAUUUCUGGUUGCCGCCAUGAUUAAUGGUGAGUUAGUUAAACCCUAGCCAUGAGAACCACCAUCUUUGAACCUUUACUGCUCUGUAAAUACCCAGUAUCUACCCCUGAUGCUCUUGACUAUGUUAUGUUUGUUGGAGCUUGUCUCCAUGGAGCCACUGGCGGGGUGUUGCUGCUGCCGGAACCACCGCGUGGUGCUGCUAGGAAUCGCUGCUGCCCUGCUUCCGCUAUACUUAGGUUCAACAUCCAUUGGCCUGGAGCCGCUUCUGCUUUCGAUUCUAUUGAAUUUGAAAUCUUUGCUUCGUUGCAACCAUGAUCACUGUUGUGGGAGCUAACGCCGCUGCUAUCUUGAUUGAGACUGUUGCAUAGCUAGUAUUGGUCCAGCCAGCUGCCUCGCUAUAAUCCAGCCUCCGGGUUCUUUUAAUCGCGACAUCGAGUGACACAGGUUUGAAGACGCAAUUUGAAGCUGCAAGCGAUUAGUAGGCUUCCUUUAUGGUUUUAAUUGCUUUCAUAGAGUCCCAUCGCUCUUUUCCUUUGAAGUUUUAUUUUAUCAGAGGGGUAGGUAUUGUAUUUGGGUUUAUAUGACUUCCUAUGUAUAAGAAUUACUAAUAAUAAUACCUCUGUGAUUGUUAUUACUAUUUGCAAUGUUUAUCCUUGAUACAUGUCUUUAAUGAAUAAAAACAAAAUUUUCUGGCAUUUUCUUAAAACUGAAACGCGAAAUCGAUACAAAGGCUCAGUAAUUAAGUAGUUAAUAUUAGAAAAGGUCACGUAACGUUCUUUCUAGUAGAAAUACCCUUACUUAAGCAAGGUAUUUUGCUGGCAGGGAUGUUACACUUUGCCCGAGAUUUGAUGGCCCAAACCGGCGUUCCAAAUCAGCUCAAAACUGCCCGGCGUUAAACGCCGGAACUGGCACAAGAAUGGGAGUUAAAUGCCCAAACUGGCAUAAAAGCUGGCGUUUAACUCCAAGAAAAGUCUCUACACGAAAAUGCUUCAAUGCUCAGCCCAAGCACAUACCAAGUGGGCCCGGAAGUGAAUUUUUAUGUCAUUUGCUCAUUUCUGUAAACCCUAGGCUACUAGUUCUCUACAAAUAGGACCUUUUACUAUUGUAUUUUCAUCUUUGGAUCUUAGAUCAUCUUUAGAUCUUUGAAUCUUUUGAUCACAUUUUGGGGGCUGGCCUCACGGCCAUGCCUAGACCUUGUUCUUAUGUAUUUUCAACGGUGGAGUUUCUACACACCAUAGAUUAAGGUGUGGAGCUCUGCUGUACCUCGAGUAUUAAUGCAAUUACUAUUGUUCUUCUAUUCAAUUCAGCUUGUUCUUAUUCCAAGAUAUUCAUUCGCACUCAAGAAC